GAAGAUUUCCAUAAAGAUGAUCUUCUGAGUGAAGGCUGGGCUUUAAGACGAAAUGAGAGACAGUGUUGGUGGAAGAAGAGAACUUAAGGCCAGAAGUUGUGUGUGUGUGUGUGUGUGUGUGUGUAUAAUUAUGCCUGAAUAUGUUUUAUUUAUUAUAGUCUAUGUGUGAUUUUGUAUUUGAAAGUAGAUGCUUGAUUCUACCACAAUUAAAAAAAGGAUAUGCUUGGAUUUGUCUGUAGUAUGUGGGUGUGGAGGAGUUCAUUUGAACACGGGCAUUUUUGUGUGUCCAGGACGUAUCAACAGCCUCCUUAGAGGUGUCAUAUGUGCAGGGAAUACUGAAGAGAGUGCAUUAGUCUACAUGUCUCUCUAUAUAUUUUUUCUUUUUGUGUGUGUCUGGUUUUCCUAGAUUUCUCUCUUGCAUGUUUGUGGGUAUGAGAGUCUGUUAGUAUUAAUAUGUGAAUGGGUGUGUGCUAUUUGUCUGGGGAGGAUGAUUUAGGCAAGGAUUUGAAAGUGUGCAUUUAGAAAUUGAGGGCAUCUCUGUGUUAUUAUGAGUGUAUGUGUGUUUGUGUGUGCAUUUUAGAGUGGUUGGUUAUCUGUGUGUAUUUGCAAGGAGAAGGGGAAUUCAGUGUGUUUCUGUGUUUGUGUGUUUGUUUGUGAAUGGUAUGUUUUGCAGAGGAGUGUACUUUUUAUGUUCGAAAGUUAGGCAAUCAUGUAAUUUAUCAUCCAAAUGGGGAUACAUUUGAGAAUGAAAUAUAUAUGUGUGUGAAAGGAUGUCUUUGAAUGUACUUUUAAAAAUGCAUUUAAUUUUGUGUGUGUUAUUGGUGUCAGGAAUUAAGAAAAAGAAGAGAAGUACAGGAGAUAUCAUUAAAUUAUAUAGUUCUCUCUUCGACUGUAGCCUUAUAACAGGGACAUUAAUAGAAUUAACAGGUAAGAACAGGUCAGCCCCAAAGAUGUGUGCGUGUGUGUGUGUGUGUGUGUGUGUGUGUUACCAGAUCAAUGAACUGAGAAAAGAGGUCAUACAUAUCUUGUGGCGACAAAAACCCAUAUGGUUAAAAAAAAAUCAGCACAGUAAGUAAGGGAAGAAAUGUGAACUACAUUGUGCUAGAAAGUGUCUUUUAUGUACAACAUCUGCUUUGCUAUGUCCUCUUUAUGCUUCCUGCCUUGUUCCCCAUGAGUAACUCUGGCUUGUGAUGGCCAAGAUAGCUGAGACCUUUCAUUCUCUUACCUCCAAAGUUUGGAAAAAUAACUCAGUGUGACCUCCAUCAGGUAAGAGAAAGAAAGAGGCUAGGGAGAGUUGGCUGCUUCAUUUCAGGUGAGUCAGAAAAGAAAUCCCAGGGAUGCUCCUAGUAGUCUCACUCUUUUUCAGAGUGUAGCUUCUGACUCCCUGGUUUAUACAUGCACCCCCUGGGGUUGGGAAAUUCACUUGCUUAGUUCUCACUGGCUUUGUGGGAUGUAGUGAAGAGACUAGAAUGUUACUGCUUCUACUCUACCAUGUCGGUGUAGCAGUUUCUCAGUGGCUUCAUCCCCCAGUCAUCCCUUUUUUAUGUGCACUCUAUAUGCUCAUCGCAGUGGAAUGACUGCAGUCACUUCUGAAUGUCAUAAUAGUGCUAGUAGCACUGCUAGUAGUACCAGUUGUGUGGUGUAUUGGAGAUGGCCACAAAUUCAUUGUCAACCUCUCAUUGAAAGGUGGAAUCUAAUUGUCUCCCUUGGAAUCUGGGAUGGCUGUCCUACUUAUUUGACCAACAGAAUUUGUCAGAAGGGACUUUCUGUAACUUCUGAAGCUGUCUCAUAAGAAGCCUUGCAGAUUCUGCUCAUGUCUCUUUCCUCUCUGGGAAACAAGUCGCGACUCAGGGAUAAGCCUGAGACACAUGGAGAGAACAUCCUGAUCAAUCUGGUCUUUGCUGCUACCCUGGUCAACAGCCUGAGCUGGAUACCUGGCUGACAAGUACCACCUUUUUCCUACACAGAUGACAACCCAGCCCAUGAGCACCAGGAAAAUUAAACAAAAAGCCGAAAGAAAAAAGAAAAGAAGAAGUCUGGGAGUGAAGUUAUAUGCUUAAAGGCAUGCAUCUAGCAAAUGGCAAAAAAAAUGGAUGAAGACACAAGACUGAUUGUCACUAAAAACCAUGUGGUAUGUUUGAGCAAGCCCUUCUCUAGGGAAGACCCAUAAAAUUUGACUCAUGAAGAGAGAGAAAAAAAUUCAGGAGGCGAAAUUAAUACGGGGAGAAAAUGAAAGAGAUUUAGUGCAGCUAUCAACCGACCAUUGUGCUGUCUUUAAGAGUCUGUUGAAACAACAUAAUAAGAGCUCAUUGACCAGAAUUAGCAACAUGGCCCUUCCUAACUAGAAGGGACCAGAAUGGAUAGUCCUUCUAUGUGUCCAGAAGGAGAGAAGGACCAGAUAUGUGUGAUCAUGUCUCCAUUAUGGGAGAAAAGAGAAUUGAAAAAGAAAGAAGAUCCACAUAGUGUCUGAGGAGCUGAGACAAAAGAAAAGAGUUGUUAUGGGGCUCUGAUUAGAAUAUAGAGCAAAUCACAGAGCCUCCUGCUAACAGGUGUGCAGACAAGCGCUAAGAUGAAAUGGGCCAAAUACGAGAGUCAGGAAACUUGUGUGCUGGUUUUACCUGUGACAUAAACCAGCAGUAUGAAUUUGGUCCAAACACGAAAGUGAAGCAGCAAGCAGCCCAUGACAAAUAUGUGCACUGCCAGCUAAUGAAUAUUGGAGAACAUGACACGUUGGAGAGCCCAGUGGGUCUUGAAAGUCUGAGUUCCAGCAAAUUCUCAUGUCUGCAUCGACUGCAGCAAGGUCAAAAGUUGGAAAGCAGGGAUAUUCGUUUUGCAGCCACAUCAGUUUCUGAUUAGACUUACAAUUUAAGUGGGGAAGUGACUUUGGAAGAGACAUGCGUGCUGUCAGCAGAUGGGAGAGAGGAUGGAGAAAGAUGGAGGGAGGCUGCUGUAACACCUGUUCUGGUUGGGAUUCUGAAUGAAUAUGAAAGAUGCCACUGCUACUCCUUCACUUGCUCAUUCUGCAAAAGUUUGUAGAUCUUCUGCAAGGAGAACGGCAUUGUUAACUACCUACAGGAAGUGGUAAGCCAGAUAUGACCCUUGUACUUAUACAUCUUCCAUUCUAGUGAAUCUUGUUGGGAUAUUAUGUUGACUUAUUUCUGUUCCUUAGUGAUCAACUCCUCCCAAUUUCAUACAGUAUUACUUUACAUACAGUUUUAAAUCCUUCAGUCUCAGGUGUCCUUUGCCUCUCCAACCUUAUCUUCUUCACAAUCUAUUGCGCUUUCUGCGAUCAAUCUUGACAUAUAACACUCAAUGCCAAAUCAAAUUUCUGUUUUUUUAAAGCCAAGAACAUGUUAUGCUUUUUUGAUACUCAUGGAAUUACUGUAUUAUCUAUCUGGAAUGUUCUGCUCAAUUCAUUUUUGCCACUAUCAGAAGUGAUUACAAUGGUAAUAGCUCUAUUCUGAGGGAUUUCUCUCUGAGAAGCACAAUGCUAAGUACUAUAUAUGGGCAUACUUAUAUACACCCACACAUAAUUUCAUCUCAUGUAAUUCUUAAUAGACCAUUUUAUUUAUGAGAACAUGUAAAAUUCAGGAAAAUGGGAAAUUAAUUAACUUACCCAAGGUCAUGCAGAUAGCCAGUGACAGAAUAUCAUUCCAAACCCUAUUUGACUCCAAAGUCCAUGUGUUUAACUGCUCUGCUCUAUAACAAGUGGGCUUGUAUCAUCGUUCAAGGCUUAAUCCAAGGACACUUCAUUUCUGAAAUCUUUUUUGACUUGCCUAGGCAAAGACAGCAGUGUUUUUCCUUUACAUUUACCUUACAUAUAUUUCUAUGGUGGUGUAUUUUGCAUGUAUCUUAUAUAAACAUCUUCACUAGUUAUUUGUACAGAAGUCUGUAUCUGCUGUUGGCUUGCUUCAGGUUACUGAUUCAGAGCUAUUCUUCCCCACAUUCCCUGGGCCUAGCACAGUAACCAGCCAAUGAUGGGUUUCCAAUAAGUGAAUGAUGAAUGAAUGACCUGGCUGAAGCAGCACUUCCUGUUUGGAGCAGAGUGCCAAUAAGGGAGAGCAAAGGGAAAUAAGUGGGAGAGGUGGGUGGCAGCCGUUGAUGAAGGCUCUGCCCACCAGGUCAUCAUGCAUGAAUUUGACCUGAUUUGAGAAAAACCUGAUCAAAAAUUGCUUGCAAUAGUGGAGGCAAAACACAAACACAAAAACAAAAACUCUGCUCAGUUCAGUUUACAUUUUUCAUCCAGUUGUUUUGGCAUUGCACUGACACUUGAGCUAUAGGUCGGAGCUAAGUUCACCUGGGUUUAAUUGGAAAGUACAUAGGCUUGUUUGGGGAAUGCUCUAGGGAGCAGGUGAGCAAGAGACUUCUGCUAUCAACUUGAAAAAUAGCUGUAUGAGAAUUUUAAAAAUCAACAAACCCCACUGUGUUCUUCAGCAACAUGUCUUUCAUUUUCUGUGGCUAUGUCUGGUCUCUUUUUAGUUUAAGAUGAAGAAUGAAGAUGACAUGUAUUGAUUUGGUCUAACAACUGGUUUGGGAGUGAUUUGAAAAACACAUAGCCCAUGAACAGUAGAUUGAUUAUAUUAAUGGCCCCAAUUCUUUGAUCCUCAAAUUCACACCCUUUGCGUGAUAGCUUUGUGGUGUCUCUCACUCUGAUUCUGAACCUAGUCACAUGACUGGAUAGGUAACCAGUUGUCCUGAUUUUAGCACUGAAGAUCCCACACCUUCGGAAGCCCCUUGGGCCCAGGGAAACCCUUCAGCUACACAAAAAUCAGGAUGGUUGGUCACUCCACUUGCCAGUGGGAGGUCAGGAGAAGUGACACAAGCAGAGACUAGCAACACACUUGUUAGGUAGGCUUGUCCCCGUUAUUACACCUCUUCUAUCACCAUGAAAACAUGUCCAGAAUACCCUGCAGAAUGCUAAGAAAUACACGAAGGAGAGCCAAGUCAUUCCAGUUGCCCCAGACCAAGACAGACUAGAAACGCUACCAAUCCAAGGACUCUUAGACCUUGUGUGUAAGGAGAUAUAUUAGUCAUGGAUCCAGGCCACAGAGAGGUGUAGGUAUACAAAUACAAGCAGAACAGUAAGUAGCCUUCACAUACCUGAGAGCUAUCGUUAGAAGAGAGCAGAUUCAUUUUGCCUAUGUUCAAUGAAUAAAAUUAUGAUCAGUAUGUAGAAUCUACAGGAAGAUAAAUGUAGAUAAAAUUAGAUUUCUUUAUGAGAAAGAAUUUUCUAGCUAUCACAGCUGCUGAAAGCUGUUCAAAGUUGGCUCCUUAGUGAAGUACUGAGCUAACUCACAGUGGAGACAUUGAUGCAGAGGCUGGAAAGUGAGCUGACACAGGUGCUGUAAAGUAUUCAACUCAACUGGUGGGCUGAGCUCUGUGCUGGGCACAGGAAUACAAAGAUGAGCCUCUUGAAGAACUUACAGUAAAGAUGGAGAAGUAAAUGAUGACCUUUCGUGAUGAUAAGUGCAAAGCAGUAGCUAACAACCUCACAGAAGUAGUUCCAGGGAAGGAUUUUUUGUUUUAACGUGUGUGUGUGUGUGUGUGUGUGUGUGUGUGUGUGUGUGUGUGUAUCUUUAGGGGGUAGAAUUGUUGAGUGGGAAAACUUUUCCUAAGUGACAGGUAAGUUUGGUAAGUUUGACAGGUGAGUUUUGAAGAAAAAAAUCUGUCAGAAGGAUGAGGGCUAAAUUGGGGCAGUGCAGAUUUAUUGGGCCUGGUGCAGAAUGACAACUUGUGGUCCCUUGCAAAAAAAUUAUUAAAACUUACAAGACAGUGAUAGCUUGUGGUGUGUCUCUAUGGGUACAGUAUGGAUAUGGAUUUGCAGAUGCUACUGUGGAAAAGGGCAACACAACAGAGGAGAUGGUAUGGUGGGUUUGUAUUAUGUCAAUUUAGUUAAGCUGGUAUCGACUUUCCAAGGACUCCCUACCCUGCAUAAUUCAGGAAUACUGUGGGCCACAAGAGACAUUUUAUAUGAGAUUUGAAAAGAGGAAGGGAAACAGCAACUAUAUUCUGUUUAGACUUGGAAGGUCUGUGCAGGGUGCAAGAAGUUGCUGCAGAUUACCCAAAUUAUUGCUUAUUCCCAGUUUAUCUUGUGGUAUGGGGCAGCAGCAACCCUGUAACUCCUUCACUUCCCCUCAGAUCUCUUCUGUAAUCUUCUCAAGCUUCCCAUAACAAAGAACACUAGCUUUUCCUGCAGAUCACCUACAUAUCACAUCAAAUUUGCAGGCUUGAAGGCACUGAGAGCCUAACACGGGUUUCCCUUCAUCCUUGUGGGUUCUACUUUGUCUUAUCAGAUUCUGGUUUGUCCUUUCUCUUCUUCACUUUAUAUCCAUGUGUUCUUCCUCUCUUUCUCCUUCUCCUCCUCUCCUCCUCCUCCUUUUUCUUCUUCUUCUUCUGGCUGCCAUGUAGACUCCAGCCCACAUAAAGACUGUAUAAUUUGCUACACUAUACUAAAUAUCAACUUGCUAUAUAACUUACUAUACCUAAUUCUAUGUCACUCCUAGUGAUUCUGUUUCUCUGAUCGAACCCUGACUUGUAGUGAAAGGCUUAUAAAGUGAGGUACACAAGAAGACAUUUUAAGGAGGCAGUAAACAUGUGGUUUAAAGCAUGGGUUGUGAAGAUGACAUAACUUGAGUUUAUAAACUCAUUUCUUUAUUGCUACUUUACCAGUUGUGUAAUCUCAGUUUGUGUGAUAGGCAGACUCCAAGGUAGCCCCCAGUGACUUCUGCCUCCUGAUAUUAUUCCCUUGUGUAUAUCCUCCCAUAUCAUAAUGAGAGGUGACAGCAGGCUGGCAGCCCUCACAGCCCUCGCUCACCCUCGGCGCCUCCUCUGCCUGAGCUCCCACUUUGGCGGCACUUGAGGAGCCCUUCAGCCCGCCGCUGCACUGUGGGAGCCCCUUUCUGGGCUGGCCAAGGCUGGAACCGGCUCCCUCAGGUUGCAGGGAGGUGUGGAGGGAGAGGCGCGAGCGGGAACCGGGGCUGCGUGCCGUGCUUGCGGGACAGCUGGAGUUCCGGGUGGGCGUGGGCUUCGUGGGCCCCGCACUCGGAGCGGCCCGCCGGCCCUGCUGCCCCGGGCAAUGAGGGGCUUAGCACCCGGGCCAGCGGCUGCAGAGGGUUUACUGGGUCCCCCAGCAGUGCCAGCCCACCGGCGCUGCACUGGAUUUCUUGCCGGGCCUUAGCUGCCUUCCCGCGGGGCAGGCCUAGGGACUGCAGCCUGCCAUGCCUGAGCCUUCCCCCACCUCCGUGGGGUCCUGUGCAGCCCGAGCCUGCCCGACGAGCACCGCCCCCUGCUCCACGGCACCCAGUCCCAGCCCUGGCAGGCAGCUCAACCUGCAGCCCCGGUGUGGGAUCCACUGGGUGAAGCCAGCUGGGCUCCUGCGUCUGGUGGGGUCUUGGAGAACCUUUAUGUCUAGCUCAGGGAUUGUAAAUACACCAAUCGGCACUCUGUAUCUAGCUCAAGGUUUGUAAACACACCAAUCAGCACCCUGUGUCUAGUUCAGGGUUUGUGAGUACACCAAUGGACACUCUGUAUCUAGCUACUCUGGUGGGGCCGUGGAGAACCUUUGUGUCCAUACUCUGUAUCUAACUAAUCUGGUGGGGAGGUGGAGAACCUCUGUGUCUAGCUCAGGGAUUGUAAAGGCACCAAUCAGCACCCUGUCAAAACAGACCACUCGGCUCUACCAAUCAGCAGGAUGUGGGUGGGGCCAGAUAAGAGAGUAAAAGCAGGCUGCCGGAGCCAGCAGUGGCAACCCGCUGGGGUCCCCUUCCACACUGUGGAAGCUUUGUUCUUUCGCUCUUUGCAAUAAAUCUUGCUGCUGCUCACUGUUUGGGUCCACACUGCUUUUAUGAGCUGUAACACUCACCGCAAAAGUCUGCAGCUUCACUCCUGAAGCCAGCGAGACUACGAGCCCACCGGGAGGAACGAACAACUCCAGAUGCCCCGCCUUAAGAGCUGUAACACUCACUGUGAAGGUCUGCAGCUUCACUCCUGAGCCAGCGAGACCAGGAACCCACCAGAAGGAAGAAAUUCCAAACACAUCCGAACAUUAGAAGGAACAAACUCCAGACGCGCCACCUUAAGAGCUGUAACACUCACCGCGAGGGUCCGUGGCUUCAUUCUUGAGGUCAGUGAGACCAAGAACCCACCAAUUCCGGACACAAUAACAGAGAUGGGGUAUGUGAUUAAUAGAAUAAUGCACAAUUGAUGGUAUGUCACUCCCAAAGCAAUAAGAGACACUGCAGCUUCUGCCUCUUCCUCUCUUGAUUUACUCAUUCUAGGGAAACCAGUGGCCAUUUUGUUAGGAGAAACCCACAUGGUAGGAUUAGCCUUUUACUAACAACCAUGUGACUGAAUCUCAGUCAAUCCCCAGUCAAGCCUUCAUAUGACAUCAGUUCUGAGCAAUAUCUUGUUUGCAAACCUAUGAGAGACUUUAAGCCAGAAACACCCACCUAAGACACUCCCAGGCUCAUGACCCUUAGAAACUGAGCGAGAUGAUGUAUAUAUUGCUUUAGGCUGCUAAAUUUGUUAUAUAGCAAUCAAUAACAAAUAACCAAUAAAAUAACCAAUAUGUAAACAAGCAAUAAAGUAAACAAUCAAUUUUCUCACAAGUAAAAUGAAGAUGACCAUAGUACCCACUUAUUGGAUUAUUUUUAAGAAUAAGAGAAAAAACAUAUAUAAAGCAUGUAGCCACUGUAUUUGGCAUGUGGUAGCUGCAAGGGUGAAUGUUGCUCUUGCUGCUUUGCUGUUAGAAUUAUUACUAUUGUUAUUACUAUAUCUUCUUUAAAACUUGGCUUCUAUGAUUGUUUCACUUCAGACUACAACAGGAGAAGCCUUGAGUAAGUAAUAUUUAUAUUGAGUCUGAAAACCUACUCUGUCAUAAAUUUACAGUGUCUGCCAUCAGAAAAUCAGUGGGUGUGAGUGUGGGGUAGAUAUGGAGACAACCCCAUAUGUAAGCCUUGUUAAUGUUGUUUUUUUUUUUAAAUACAUGGAGGGGCCCACACAGACUUCACCCCAAAGAAAGUAUCCUAAUCUUGGAUUAGGAUAGUAGCUGAAUCAGUUCAUGUUGGAACUCCAAUGUCCCAAGGGCUGGAGAAUAUUAAAGGUUGAGAAUUAAAAUCUGUCAUCUGCCUGCUUGGAAAAUUAACCCAGUUGGUGAUGGAGAAUUACUGGAAAGUUAUAAGAAACAUAGACACCUACCCAGAACUUCAUGGUGCAAACAAAAUUGAAUGGCAUUUAACAUAUCUAAUUGUUAAUGAAAUGGGGUAUUGUAGAGCAUUAAUAUCUGCCCUUCAGCAGUGGCUGCUUGCUUUCACUGGCAGUAUUUGUAUCUGAAUAAUAAAACAUUGGCGCUUGAAGGGUUUUUCUAGAUGAGCUCAGCCUUCUUUUACAAAUAAAGAAAUAGGCUUGGAAAUAUACAUAUAAAUGAUAGUGGUGAAUCUCUAUCUUGUUCUCUCCUGAAGGGGGUUAAAUGAGGGGUUGGGAGAAAGUGGUCUUUCUUUGGUUUCCUAAAUAGUAUCAUUUAGUAAUUCUGAGAAUAGAUAUUGAAAUCACACAGGGCUGCAUCAAAUUGCACCUUUCUUCUUUGUUAACUGCAAGAUUCUGGAUGAGCUAACUUGGUAUUGAAUAACUUGCUAACUUUUUUUAAGCCUCAGUUUUCUCAUCUGCAAAAUAGAACUAGUAAUAAUACAUAUGUCAUAAUGAUAUUAUGAAGAUUCAGAAUAUGCUUGGCCCAUGGGAGGUGCCCUACAAAUUUCAGGUUCUAAUAUUUUAUAUGCAAUUCCUCAAUGUUAUGGCCUGUAUAUAAGAAAGAAAUGGAAUGCAUAAAUAUUGUUGGGAGUAUUCAUUUGAAUUUUGAGCUUUACUUAAAACACAUUUAGCAUUUUUCAGGGAAUCCAGUCAGAUUGCAAGAUUUAAAAGUGAUGACAUUUUGUACAGCAAACAUCACCUUCUGGUUUUGCAGUCUCUGAAGGCCAGACCACUUUGAUGACUUUCUUCAGGUUGGUUUUAUACAGUAAAAGAAGGUAAGUCCAGGGGCUUCUUAGGAGGAGAGGGAUAUCCAUCAAGAGAUAUCAAAGACCACCUCUCCCAUAAUUGUAAAUCACAUUCCCUGAUUUACAAUGGUUCAACUUAUGAUGUUUUGAUUCAUGAUUUGGUUUUCUGGGUAUAAUCCCAUUGUAAGUCAAGGUGCAUCUGUAUAAGGAAUAUUAUUUACAUGAGAUCACUGUACUCACCAGACAAGGAAUAGGCAUUACUCUUUCCAUUCUACAUUUGAGAAAAUUAAAACUCAAAGUAUUUGACUUCCCUACAGUUCCAUAAUUAAUGCAUAGUGGAUCCAAGACUUGGGCUUUGGACCUAUAACAUGGACUCAGAGUGUUAUUCUGGGCACUUGAUCCUCAACAAUAUGUCUCCCACCUUCUUUACUUUGCUGUUUGCCCUCUAGGGAUAAGUCUUCCUGAAGAGCUUGAGAGUUUACAUCCUACUAUUGUGACUCCAUUCAUGCUCUUGCUCUUUGAGAAAUAGCUAAAACCCAAGCCUCUUCAGGUUGUCAAGACCAGGGAGGCAAUAGGCAGAAUCACAGAAGGCAGUCAGAGCAUGAAUAGUUUUCUUAGUGAUGUUCCAGAGAAGUAGCAUAGAAGAAAGAGAUGGAAGCUGGAUCAUCGGCAAAAUUUAAGUCACUGGAAGAAUUAGUAAGAAAAACCUUGGGCUCAAUGCAAAUAAAUGGAGUCCUGAACAGUUUGCUGAAGCAAAGACUUUAAAACUGGGACACAAACAAGGUGAAAUUACAAAAUAGGACUUGGGAAUAGGAACAAUACAGCUAAUGGUCCAAAGCAGGACAAGCCAUUGAUUGUUUAGAAACCAUUGUUGUUAGCUACUUAUCUGGAAGAAAAGAUUCAAUCUCACAUUAUUGAGGGAAUAAUAUAUAAACACAGUUCCUGAGUUACAAUGGUUCAACUUAUAAUGUUUUGAUUCAUGAUUGCUUUUUUCUGGAUAUAAUCCCAUUGCAAAUCAAGGUGCAUCUGUAUAAGGAAUAUUAUUUACAGGAGGUCAUUUUGUUGUAGGACUUUCUCCUUAGUUCAGCUAAAAAUGGGGUCCUUGUCACACAACCAUGAAAAAUUAGGCUUGCAGACACUUUGAAGGGUGAGAAAAAUGAAAUUUAUUGGGUAAAAAGGAAAAAAAAUUCAGCAAAGUGAGAGAGGUUCCUGUUAACAGGCCCUCAUCUCACAGAUUGAAUUCCAGGUAACCACCCCAGAACAGGAGAGACCAGGCCACACCCUUACAAAGAGCGUGAACUUCCCGAGCCUCCACCCCAUUCUCCCAGUGCGCAGGCCAGUCAGAGGUUCUCUGAGGACCUCUUUAUACUUGGCUGUCUCGGCUUUACUCACCAGAUGAGGAAUAGGCAUUACUCUUUCCAUUCUACAAUUGAGAAAAUUAAAACUCAAAGUAUUUGACUUCCCUACAGUUCCAUAAUUAAUAAGUAGUAAAUCCAAGACUUGGACCUUGAACCUAUAUCUGUAUAAGUACAAAAAAAUAGGUGUGCAACUAGGAUUACAGAUAGGAAUCAAAUGGCUCUAAUUUGAUAUCUGUGUCUAUUAGUGGUGGGGAUACGUUGAAUGGCCAGGGUGGUCAUUUUAAAGCAGGAUAACAGACCUAUCUUUAAAUGGAAAAUGAGAACAUGACCCUUCUUUAGUGAUAUUUUCUCUAACAUCGUGAUGACCACACUCUCCAUCACCACUCUGAGCCUUGCGAUAUAUUUGAAUGAAGGCCCAAAGUUCUUGCAAGUCUUUUGUCUUUUCGGAGUAAAUGGAUUACAUUGACAUAAGUAGAAUCAAAGCAGAAAAGUGGCCAAGGUUGUUUAGAAAUAUUUGAACAAAGAUUAGACCAAUACAGUUUAACUUCACUUUCACUGGACAAGUGGUGAAAAAAUAAUUGAGUAGUUUCAGAAAGGCCCAAGUUUGAAUCCUGGUUCUGUCUUUAACCAACAGUUGAAUUUGAGAGCCAGUGUCAUGUCUCUGUACUUAAUCUUCUUUAACAGGUGGAACGUACUUGCCCCACUUAAUAUGAUAAAGUUGCUAUAAAGAAAUAGGAUGAGGUAUGUGUGAAAUAGUAUUCUAAACUCACUGUGCACAUGGAGAAUUGACAACUUUCCUUUAAUAUCAAUGGCCAAGGUCACCAUUCGCCUAGGACUAGAGGACUCCCGAGGAAACAGAAAUCAGUACAUGCAUUCUAUAUCCAGGGCCAAGAGGAUAGAAAUCCUGCUCGGUGGGAAGAACAAUGAACUGAAAUUCCAAGUGUCUGGGUACUUCUCGUUUCUUCCACUUAUUAACAGUGUGAUCCUUGGCAAUUAUUCCUUCACCUCUCUGAGCCUUAAUUUCCUCUCCUGUUAAAUGAAGGAGAUAAUGUAAAAUCUAGAAGGUUGGUUCUCAACCUUGGCUACAAAUGAGCUCUCCAUGGGUGCUUUUAAAGGCCUGAUGUCCAGGAGAUACCCCAGAUUAAUUAAAUCAGAAUCUCUGAGCAUAGAAUAUAGGCAUUGGUAUUUUUUUAAACUCCCCAGGUAAUUCCAAAAUGUAACCAUGUUCAAGACCCAUUGAUCAUUCUAGAUAGUUUCAAGGUCAGGCCCUUCCAUGUCUAAUACUCUAGUAUUUUGCAAAAACCUCUUGUUAGCUCUAGAUCAGUCCCUCUCCAAUUUCUUUGUAGAGAUAGGUAAUGCCAUUGUGAGUCCAAUAUGCCAGCUGUAUUACUUUCCUAGAGUUACAAAGAACCACAAACUGGGAAGCUGAAGCAAGAGAAAUUUCUUGUUGCACAAUUCUGGAGGCUUAGAAGUCUGAGACCAAGGUGUUGGCAGGGUUGGUUCCCCAUGACGUCUCUAAGAAAGAUUCUGUGUUACAUCUUUUCCCCUAGCUUCUGGUAGUUUGCUGUCAAUCUUUGGGAUUUAUUGGAUGGUAGAAGCAUUGGCUCAAUCUCUGCCUUCAUCUUCACAUGGCAUUCUCCUUGUGUGUGUUUCUGUAUUCACAUUUCCCCAUUUUUAUAAGGAAGCCAAUCAUAUUUGAUUAAGGGCCCAACCUAUUUCUAUAUGGCCACAUCUUAACAACAUCUGCAGGGACCCUAUAUCCAAAUAAUGACACAAGUUGAAGUACUGAGGGUUAGGACUUCAGUAUAUGAACUCUGGAGGGACACAGUUCAGUUUGAAGUAAUAUUACCAUAGUACCUAUAGAUUUCAACAAUUGGGUAGAGCAUUAUUGGUGUUAGAUGAUUUCCUGAAACCUCUGUAAUUGGUUUCAAAGGAGGACUCCUUUCACACAGAACACAACACACUCCCUCCGUUUCUCUCUCCCAGUUGCCCCUGGCCUCACCCACCUUCAAAUUCUUUGCUCCCUGCCUGCCCCCUCCUGUCUCCUCUAAUGAUUCCUUGCCAACAAGGGAGGGAGACCCUGGCCCCUUCAUUUGCCAGUUUAGGGAUUUUCCACUAAGCAUCUCAACUCCCUGCCAACCACCUUUAGUUAUUAAAAUGCAGCUCACAACGUCUCACUCUGGCUGUUACAUUAUCAUUCCUCGUUAGAGACUCCUCCAGGGCCUGAGACAUCCCUGCACUGACUUUAUAAUUACAAAGUCAAUUUCUAAACAGACAUUUGCAAAUAAGUCAAUUUAAAUACCGAGAUUUGCAAACAAUAAUUAAGCAGUAGCUUCUUUUUUAAUAUCUCUACAUAUAAUUAAUGCCGGUGGGCUUUUCAUUUUACCUUGCAACUGGGUAGUUUGCAAUAGUUUGUUGAGCUAAAGUGUUCUCUGAAAGCAAAUCAAAGCACAGGGGAGAUUUUGAAAGUGAUUGAAGAAUGAGUUUUUCCUUUUCCUUCCUUAUCCCUACUUCACCUGAUUGGCUAGGUUUCUUAUCAGGUGGGACCAUGAUAGGGCAGGGAUGCUGAAGCAGGAUCAUUUUCUGCAGUAAAAACAGUAACAACACAGGGUUCUGGUCCAGAGAUAGCUUGGUUAAUAUGGCCUCUAAAAUCAAAUAUACAGUCAAGGCAUUUCUCUAUGCAAGAAGCCUCAGAUUCUACUCAUUCCAGCAUCAUCUACACAGUGAUAUCUCUCAGUACUCAGCUUUGAUAGUGUAUUCUUCCUAGUUUAAACCAAUCUGCAGCAUAUCCCUGCCAGCUAUAGGAUAAUAGCCUGACCCUGACAUUCAACAUCCUUUGCAAUCUUGCCUUACCCUCUCUUUUAAACAAGUAUUACUGAAAACCUACUAGAUGCUAGGGAAAAUGCCAGGUAACAAGGGCACACUGGUAACUAAGACACAAUCUAUUUUGAAGUCUAGUGGGGAUAGAAAAAGUAAAUUCAAAGAUAAAGUGUUAUAAAAGGGGAAGGAGAAGGAAAGCUAGCUUGAUCUGAAGACUUAGGAAUGUCCUUUUAAGAAAGUGAUUAUCUAAACUGAAAUAUCAAGGAUGAGUAGUUAUCAACAAGAUGAAGAUUGAGGAGGAUGGUUAUUUUAUGUAAAAGCCUUUUAGAAGCUGUAGAGAUUAACAAACACAAAAACUGUUUGAAAAACCAAAAAGAAUGGGCCUAAAUGGUAGCUAACAUAAAUGAGGGAAAAGAUGGGUCUAGGCAAAGAAACACAGACUAAAAUCCUGAAGGCCUUGUAUUACAAGUUAAGAAGUUUGAGCUUUGUACUAAGGAUAGCAGGGAGUCAUGAAAGGGUUUUAGGGAGUGAGGUGACCAGUGUGGCUUAUGAUGCCCCAGCUGUGUUCCCAAGCCACGCUAGACAAUCUCUCCAAGUUAGUUGGAUUAUCUGACAAAUCUUGAUUUAGCUUCCUAAUCUCACCUCUAAUGAGCAUGUUUCUACCAAUAUUCCCAACCCAGCUUAAUACCUCACCAUCAAAGUCUAACACAGAAAUCAUAGCCUCUGUGAAAUGUCUUUUAUCCCUCCACAACUUUCUUAUAAAAAUGGGUCACCUCCUAAUGAGUGCUUCCAAAACAUUUUGUUCAGUUCUCCAAUUCAAUACUUAUGACAUGCACGUUAAUAGUAAAACUUUCAUUGUUCCCAGGUUAGUGUAUCUAUAUUCACCAUGGUGCUCAGCAAACAGUAAGCAUUUACAAAUAGUUUAGAAUCAUCAUCAUCAAUUUGACCAACAGAUGAAACCUUCAGAAUUUUUCAGAAAGAGAAUCCUCACAUGUGCCGUGGUGGGAGCCGGCAUGUUUUGCCUUCAGAAUGUCCUCAAGCGCAGUCAUAAUCUCCCUUCAUCCAGGAUGUUUCUGUUCAGUUCAUGGGAAAAGAGUUUCUGUGCAGCUUUCUUUAGGUAGAAGGAGGCUGACUGAAGUCAGCAUUCCCCAGAAGAGAGACAGGGACUCCAGAGUUAAGAGUGCAUGAGAGGUCAGAGGCACUGACAACUCUUUUUAAGGUGCUGAGAUUCUCAGCCCAAAAUACAGACGGGAAUUCCACUGACCCACAGAAGCCUACUUUGCCCUCUGACUCAGAGAUAAACAUCUUUCUUUUUUUUCAUGUUCACUCUUCUUAGAGAGACAGGUCCAGGCUGGGUGCGGUGGCUCAUGCCUGUAAUCCCAGCACUUUGGGAGGCUGAGGCUGGAGGAUUACGAAGUCAGGAGAUCGAGACCAUCCUGGCUAACACGGUGAAACCCCAUCGCUACUAAAAAUACAAAAAAUUAGCUGGGCACUCAGCCACUCAGGAGGCUGAGGCGAGAGAAUAGCAUGAACCCGGGAGGCGGAGCUUGCAGUGAACCGAGAUCGCGCCACUGCACUCCAGCCUGGGCGACAGAGCAAGACUCCAUCUCAAAAAAAAAAAAAAAAAGAAAAGAAAAAGAGAGACAGGUCCAAUUUAGGCCCAGGGUCUGGGCUCUAGAAAAGCCAGCCCUGCUCCACUAAAUGCUAGGCCCGCCUGGAAAAGUUAAAGAGUUGACCAGCUGAGGUUCACUCAAGGCCUCCACUUCCUGCUUGAAUCAUUUCAUAUUUUUGGUUCAAACCAGUCAGCACCAGGGCUAAGUGACCUUUAGUGGGCCACAUAUUUUGCAAGCCACACAUUAACUAACAGAUUAUUAUUGAGCCCAGUAGUCCUUUUCAACAUAGAUUUUGUCUCCUCAGGGAAUGUUUUCUGGAGGCUUUAGUGUUCAUUUCUUAUGGUGUUUUCUUAGUAAACUCAUCAUCUCUGGAAGAGUCUUAAAUGCUAACAAGAAGGAUUACAUAGAACGUGGAUACAUAGCUCCCUAAAAUACUUAAUUUCCCAGUAUUGAGAGUGAGUUUUCAGGACACUCCUCUAAUCCUAAUCCUCAUACCCAUUUGUUUCAGUGCCUGGCUCAUGUUCUAGAUACAGCUGCAUGGGAUAAUCUGAUAUUGGUUCUGACUGAGAUUACCCUGAAUUUAAUUUUUUUCCCCUUAAGCCAAAGACAUUCAAACUUAGGUGCACAUUAGGGGAAAUAAAAAACAAACAAACAAACAAACAAAAUAGCACUGAGUAUUUAAAAAAUAAUCUUCUGCAGUGAUUUAAUGUUCAGAAUGAGAACUAGUGGUUUAAGUCACCAUUCAUUUAAAUUGGCUUUGUUCUGAUUAAAGGGCCUAGCCACCUGAAGUUGUCCAAACCGGGGGCCCAUUGCAGACAGAAGCAGACAGAUAAAUGGACAAAGUUUUAACUGUGGUGACAUCUUUUCCUUGUCAGUCAUCUAAAUACUUGAAGAAGAACUUAACAUAAUAAGGAGAGAGCAGGAACCUUAUUCCAGUUUCUUGUUGUUUUGGGUGGCUUUGAAUUCGCCCUCCUAUAUCUGGGUGAGCACAGACUUCUGUGAACUCCUACUGGCAUAUUUUUCUGGUCCUUCUCCCCUCACCCUUCUCUUCCCUUUUACUCAUUUUUUUUCUAUCUUCUUUUCUGGUUUUCUUUUACUACCUCCGUAGUAGUUAAGGAACACCAGAAUGGGGACCACAGAGAGUGUGGGGCACAUUGUGCUUGUGGUUACUGUAUGCCAUUGAAGAGUCACUUAAUUUUGGGGGCCCCUUUUAUCCAUAUGUAUUUAGUUGAUUGGAUUAGAUAGGAUCAUAUCUCCCUACAUUAUUAAAAUUCCAUAUUUUGCUAUGUUUUAUAUUUUAUUCUUUUCUAUUCUUCUUUCCUUUUCUUUACAUCCUCUCUCUGUAUAAGCUUCUGAAAGUUGAAUGUUGAGUAAGUGGUGGAUGAUUAUUUUAGUCUUCUUUGUAACUACUUUUGGUCCAGUUUCAAAAGUUCACAGCAAAGCUAUGGUACAGAGAAGUCAAUAGUCAUAGCUAGAUGGAAAUGUUCUAGUUCACUCCCUCUACUGAGCUUUCACUUAACAUUAACUUCUUCAUUGGGUAUGGACAUGCAUUUUCCUACCUGUUAUACUAAUAGUUUGAAUGUAUGUCCCUGUCCAAAUCUAAUAUUGAAAUGUAAUCCCUAAUGUUAGAGGUGGGGCCUGGUGGAAGGUGAUUGAAUUAUGGAAGUGAAUUUCUCGUAAAUAGUAUAUUAGUUCGUUCUCGCGCUGCUAUGAAGAAAUACCCAAGACUGGGUAAUUUAUAAGGGAAAGAGGUUUAAAAUUCACAGGUCCUCAUUGCUAGGGAGGCCUCAGGAAACUUACAAUCAUGGUAGAAGGCACCUCUUCACAGGGUGGCAGAAGGGAGAAUGAGUGCCAGCAGAGGAAAUGCCACACACUUAUAAAACCAUCAGCUCUUGUGAAAACUCAUUCACUAUCAUGAGAACAGCAUGGGGAAACCACCCCCAUGAUUCAAUUACCUUCACUUGGUCUAGCCCUUGACAUAUGGGAAUUAUUACAAUUCAAGGUGAGAUUUCAGUGGGGACACAGAGCCAAACCACAUCAAAUAGUUUAGCACCACCCACCUUAGUACAGGCCUCAUGAUAAUGAGUGAGUUCUUAUGAGAUCUGGACAUUUGAAAGUGGGUAGCACCUCCCCUCUUGCUCUAUUUCUCGUGCUUUUGCCAUGUGACGUACCUGCUCCCCCUUCUCCUUCCACCAAGAUUGUACAUUUCCUAAGGCCUCCCCAGAAGCCAAGCAGAUGCCAGCAUCAUGCUUCCUGUAUAGCCUACAGAACCAUGAGUCAAUUAAACUUCUUUUCUUUAUAAAUUUCCCAGUCUCAGGUAUUUAUUUACAGCAAUGUAAGAACCAACCAAUACACUACCCUUCAAAUUUCUCUUACCCAUAAUCAUUCAGCUGAGAUUUUUCUUAUACCAUAAAUAUUUUUCUUGAUCAUUCUAGUUCUCUCUGAACUCCCUUUCCUUUGGCCAAUUACAAUGUUUACUUAUGAACUUUAAAAUGUAACACUUAAAUACUGUUCCCAUUGCUUUGUUUGGUGGUAUGUGUUUGUGACACUAUCUGUGCCUUGUGAACAUUAGUUAUAUUGUAUCACAUAAAGGAGAGAAACACCAAUUUUUUCUUCUGUUUCUACUCCUGAAGGUGUCAAACUCCAGGUUAAGCAUGCAAUGUGUGCUUAAGAGAGACUUGGACAAUAUUAAGUUUUUAAGCUUAGAGAAAACCUAUUUCAACUCCCACAUUUUACCCACAAAGAAACUAAAGCUCAGGGAAGAAAGAUAGCUUGCAGUGAAUUAAUAGCAGAGCUUGACUAGAAGCUAGGACUCCUCAAUCCAUUUCAUUUUCUAUAUAAUUUGUUGUUUGAUUUAUUUUUCCAAUGCCUAGGCAUGUCUCAGAUCCUCAAAAGUGUUGCUUACUUAACCCAUUGUACUUCCACUUUUGUAUAACUUAACAGCUGUAUCCCGUUGAGAUACACCCUUGCUGCCCUUCAGGAAGUUCAUUUUAAAUUGAUGUGUGAGCUAAUUAGUCCACAUAGAUGCCUCCUUUGUUAAGGAGGUGAUGAUGGUGUAGCAGAAGGAGCUCUGGGCUUAGAAUCUGAAGAUUGGCCUUCAGUUCUCUCUUUGUUCCUUAAAAACUCUGUGAGCUUAGGCUCACUACUUCACUUUUAUGAGUCUGUUUCUUCAACAAUAAAACAGAGCAUAAAUAUCCUCAUUUAGCAAAACAUUGUAAAGUUUAGGUGAGGUAGUAUUUACUUUUUGUUAACCUUGAUGAGCUAUUGAGAUAUCAAAUGUAGUCCUUUUCACUAGUAUUAAAACAAUAAUAAAAUAUAAAAGACAUGAACAUUAGUUAAAGAAGAAACACCCUAAUUUUGCUGCAUGGGACUUUACUCAGCAGGCUAGAAGCCAUCAUCAAUAUUGGUGACAAUUACAUAUAUCUCUUUCCUCCUCCUUAUGUGUGAAAGACCCAUAACUUAAACACUUGCUGAUAUUCAGCACAAAAACAAAUAGCAAAGCAACCCUGGGUGUGAUGUAUUUCAACAGCAUAGCUUAGACUUGCCACCGUUCUGUUAAAUUAUGAAUAUCUAUUACUUGAUGAAGUCAAUGCUUUCAUUUGGAAUAAGAAAGGAGGGAGGCAAAGAGGUUGCAGUUAGGGAAGAAAAAAACACAAAAGGAUGCAGUUGCUAUAGCGAUUAACAAUGGGUAUCCUUUUGGCGGGGUUUAGAGAUGCUGAUGCAGCUAAAACAAAUGUUUGUGUUUGGCCACAUUGGAGACGGUGACGGAUUAUGGAGCCUUGGCCUUGAGCCUUGAUGUAAUCCAGUUCUAAAUAAAUCAUAAAUCUAAAUGCAGACUGGUAAGGCAGGAAGAAUACCAAUUCAGGCUAGGUGGUAGCAAGCUAGCAAUAGUGACCAGGAUUGAUUAUGGGGUGUGAAGUAGGGAGGGAUAGCAGGAGGGGGACCAUGACUAGCCUGCAGGGAUGUACUUCUUUCUCUUCUAGCCUUAGCCAACUCCCAACUGAGCUGCCAGACCUCAGUAGUGUGAAUGUGAGAUCACUGCUGAAUUAGCCACAAGGCCAGACAUUCUGCUGCCUCCUAAAUUUUCUUGGAUGAAAAGAUUUUUCAUCACGAAAGGUGCUGAAUUGCUAAUGUUUGGGCUAGUUUCAUGAUUUCCUCACUUGGAAGGAACCAAAAGUCAGUCUGAGUUUUUCACAGGCAUAAAGGAUGCUAGGAGUAUGAGAAGAUGCUACAGUGAAAGCACUUAGAUGUGGGUAACCAUUUACUUAUGUAAAGACGGAAAAAAGACAAUUGUUCAUAUGUAAUGUUGACAUUUUUCCUCAUAUUUUGUUUCCUAAGAAAAAAAGGCAAUGAGUACAGGGUAAAAUGAAAAACAAAAAUACUAGCUCUAUUUACACUGGAAAGAACAAGGCUUCUCUUGGGAGAGAAGGAAGGAUCUAGUAAAAUGUGUGGAGGGAUUGAGAACAAUAUAAGCAUUCAUGAGCAGUGAGUAUGAAAUAAAUAGCAGGUUUGGAGAGAGAAAGGAAAGGGUAUGUAGCAAUUGUUGGAAAAGUUCAAAAACUGGUAUUUCUUAAUUCACACCUUCAUUUCAAGUAUUACAAAUGACCAUAAAAUAAGGUAUACACUUCAUUUUUAAGAUGUCAGAUCAACAUUUCUUAUAAAGAUAAUAUUGUAUUAAAAUGGAGUAAUAAAAUAUUAUUUGUGUUCAUUAUGGAAAACUCAUCUUGGAUUUAGGAUAAAAAGUGAAAUGCUCAGCUUCAACUCAACUCAAAUCCUCAUCUUGAAAUGGAGCUAAGAAUGUGUUUUCAUCAUGACUGCCAAAUUGGUGGUCAUAUGGCACAUGGGAUACAUAUUGAUCCAAUAUGAGCCACAGUGGUCCUGGAGUGAUCUUCAGAUGUGACCAUGUGCCAUAGGUCCAUCAAUGGACCAUUAGGUUCAGAGGAACACUGUAGACGACUUGAGGUCACCAUUAUGUUCUUUGGACAAUAUAGUUUAAAAGGGGAUGCUCACUAAGCUAAGUAAGUCAAAAGAACAUGACUGUAGAGCAGCAGAAGGAAAGAUAAGAUUAGCUCUGCAAAAGAUUUAUUGGAGGAGAAAUGUCUAAGGGUAAAGGGGAGGAAGCAGGAGAAGGCAGGGAGACCUUUCCAAUUGUGAUGGCAGGUCUGACACCAGAGAAGAAGACAAAGAAAGAAGGAUUUGGAGGAUUGGGUAAGAAUAGUCUCAAAUUAGGUGACUUAAGGAGGUUCCAAGAAGGGCCAAAUCACCUGUUAGAGGAGUCCUGCUAUGCACAGAAAUGGACUCUGCAUUAGCCCCUUCAUUGUCCUCAGUCAUCGGCUGGGAGCAUCCCAUGAAAAGCGUGGCCUCAGAGGUGCUGGAGAUUCAUUAGAGCAACCACUGGGGCUAUCUGUCAACAUUGCUUCUCCACUCCCACUUCUGCAGGAGAUUUGAGCCAUGCAAUUCCAUGGCUACUGCAGUAAAUUUUAGGCUAGAUGUGUCUAUUGUUUUAACCUGGUUCCUAUGGAUGUUCAAUAUCUGAAAGAAUUACAAAUCUUUCUCAAAAGAAAGAGGUAGUCAGUAGAAGACAUCAUGGAUUAAUUCAAGGCUUUUUCCUGGAACACAUUUUUAAGACAAAAUCCCUGAGAAUUAAGCUCCAGCUCCGUGGUGCUCCAUCACGCACAUUGUAGAAUCUGUGUUACAGGCAUUUUAUGUGAAUUUGAAUUCCACAAAUUAGACAUACGGUCAUAUAAAGUAUCAAUAAGUCUCACUUUAUGCACAAUAUUUAACACUCUGUGACUCACCCAAAUUAAAAACAAUUCAUCAAGAAUUUCAUAAUUUGAAAGUUGGCUCAAUGAAUUAUAAACUGUCUUUGAGAGAGCCACAGAGCAGCAUGACUUCAGCUGUUAAAUAGGAAGACCUGAUAGCCUGUGUCAGGAUUAAUCUUUAAUUACAUGAUGUUUGUAAAGUUAUGAUUCUUGUACCAAAAUAACCCUGAGUCUAUUAUUACUCUAAGAAACUUGACAAUGUGCAGGGAACAUGAUAAUGACAAUGUGGGAAUAAAAAAACAAGCAAAUGAAACAUUGAGUUGUGUGUAAGCUUGCAGUGAACCAAGAGGUGCAGGGAAGAGGAGAGAUGUUGGCAAUUAAGAGUCAAUAGCGUCCUGGAUUAGGAUUUAUUUAUGCACUUUUUGCAACCUAUUUUGCUGGUGAACUGCCUGACUGAACCUCCUAGAAAUAGUGAACAGGGGCUGAAAUGUGUGUGUUUAGUUGAUAUCUGCACAUUGACAGAAAAGUAACUUACAAGAUGCAUUCUCUUCCAGACUGGAGGGAGAUCUGUAGCUGGUAAUUGGGCAGCAGGUGGUAGAAGAUGGCUUGGAGGAUCAGAAACUCCUUAGAUCAAGUCAGUGUAGUAGCAAUUUAUAGCGAAGAGUUAAAAAACUAUUUCAGACUUCACCACCUAUAUGAGGAGAUGACUGAAUUCUUGCUGCUACUAAAGCCAAUUAGAUAAAGGGGAAAAAGGAAAAAAAGGUGACCAUAAUGUUUCCCUGGGAACAAAUCAAAUAGCAAAACUCAGACUAAAACUCUAGGUAAGACGCGAGAAUAUGAGGUGCUAAGGGCAUGUGACAGCCUCCUGAAUUUGGAUCCUGCAAAGCGUGGCCCAGGUAGGCACAGGUAAGUGGUUUCAACUCCAAAAGUGGAUGCUUCAGGGACAGCCAGAUGCUGCACCUCCUAAGUUGCUUCCACUAUGAUAAAAUCAGUCCCAAGGGAUGAUGCUCCUUGGUCAACUUUAGGCCCCAGCAUGGAAAAGACAAUGUCAAAGACAAACUAAAGAUGAAGAGAAACAUCAAGACAGGCACUCUGACCAUGGGGCAACAAACUCGAUAGAUAUUCCGUUAUUUUUUUCUUUCUUAGGAGGAAAAGAACCAGGAUUGGGAGGUCACAGAACCUGAAAUCAGCAUGAUUGCCUCUGUGGACUUCGGUUUCAGUUACUCACACCUGGGCUUUUUAGAAGUAAUUUGAAUGGAUACAGUCAAAGCUCAGCCUCUAGAAGAUCCCAAAUGACCCCACUGUAGGAGUAUGAGAAGAACGUUCAGGAAGAAGGGGUUCAGGUGGUAGAUGAUAAGAAUCUACAGGUGGCACAAUAGACAUAUUACCUUCUUUGGUGGAGUCUGUAAAGACAUUACUAAAGUUUAAUAAUAAAGCAUGAAUAUUCAGACCCUUCUUUUCUGCCUUCUAAGAGUUAAUGAGUGAAAUGUUGAAUUGGAGGAAGAAGAAACAUUCAUUGACUUGUUUUAAACAAGAAAGAGAGGAGAGGUGCUCUUAACAUAAAAUGAUAGACUCAUAAGAGAGUGGGAAAGUUUGGCAUGGGCUGGAGUUUGAAGACAUUGGGGCUUUUGAAAAGAAUAUUUAUUGGGCAGCCAUCAUUAAUUUGAAGUCUAAGGUAAAUACACUUUGAAAAAUGAUUUUAAGCAGUUACUCUUUUCCUUAGUAUCGUGUUUGGCAAAUUUUUAUUUUUUUUGAAACUUAAUUGUAGAUUUAAAUAGCCUUUUAAAUUUUCAAAUAUUGGUUCAUAUUAAAUUAGAAUUUCUUCUGAAUGUGACACUGGACAGAGGCAAACCCUAGAGUGUUCCAGCUUUGUCUUGGUUAUGCUGGCAUAGUGUACAGUUAAGCAUCUAUUUUUUUCUAGUACAAAUUGUAUUAAAGUAUAAAUUAUCCAAAUUUUAUUCCUAACUGUAAAUGUCCACUCUACAUCAAGAGAAAGCCAAAAUAUUAGAGAAGCAUGUCAGCUGUAUAAUGCCUCAGAAAGAGGAUUGCAAUGGAAAUUGCAGGAGUUACCAGGGAUUUAAAAUUAGAGCAUCUGGAUUGGAAAGAGUAUUGUAAAAUCAUAAGUUCAACCAUCCAGCCAGUCAGAACUCUGCAAUGUGCAUAACAGAUGGCCACCUAUCUUUGUUGGAACCCUUCCAGGGAUGGAGAGAUCUUCACCAGGAUAGCCAAUUCUGUGUUUGGAUGAUUCUUAUCAUUAUAAUGCUUCUUGUAUUUAACCCAAAUCUUCAGUCUGACUUACAAUUGUCGAUCUUUUUUUGUACCCUUUGGGUUCAGUAGAACCUGGCUAAGAAGAGAAGCCCUAAUGUUUACUAGCUGUUGACUUAGGAAAAAUUCUUAAUGUAAAUGAGAAUCAAUUCAUGCACCUGUAUAAUGGACAUAAUAACUCCCAAAUCAUAGGUUUAUAUUAAAGAUGAAUAAAAUAAUGUAUAGUCUGGAUUCAACACAGUGCCUUGUACAUAGUAUGUUCCUAAAAAUGUUAGACUAUACCAAUGUUACUAGUGAAACUAAAUCAAUGAAAGUCAAGAUAGAGGCCAAAGCAUUUCAGGUAAUCUUGUUAGGAUUUGCCAUUCUGGUGUUAUAUUGCUUCAAGCAAUGUUUCUCCAUCUUGAAAUGAGUCUGUCCCUCUCAUCUCUGAUUGUAGGUAUAUAUGGCCUUGACUUAGCAAUCUGACUCUGAACACUUGUGCUCCCAAGCUUGCUCUCUUUGUAUUGUAUAUUUCAACACUCCAAUUCUGAUCUCUUUGUACUGUAUAUUCUAACACUGCAAUCCAGACUCAAGCCUGGUUAAGUGGACCACUGCUCUCUGGCUCCACCCUAUGCCUGGGUAGGACAUGGACAAUCACAGUUAUGGGUGAUCACUGAGAUGGGCUGUCCUUUCACUUACGGUAAAUGUUAGGAAUUCUGUAGUGCACUUUUCAUGUUCUUCAAAGAUAGGUCUUUGAAUGUGUCCCUCUUAAAUAUAAUAAAAGGUCAAAUUUUUAAUUUACCUCAUGGAAACUAGGGCUCAGAUGCUUCUGGGAGAAGACUUAGGCAGCACCCAAAUAUCUAUAUAUUUAUUUCUAUCCAAAGAGCUGCAUGGGUCUUUUUUGUUUGAGAGUCAAAGGAAACAAGGAAGGGGUAGCUGUUCUAUUACAAGGAGUAUUGUCAGUAAACAGCCUCCAUCUGACAUCUUCAGGGUCUGUCUCAACUGCAGAAAUCUACUUUGAUGAGGUCAUGCCCUUCCUGGGGAUACUACAUACAGUGACUCACCCAGGCAGGGAUGUAAUUUCCUGACCAUGCAGGUCCAAUGUAGAAAGUCUGAUAAGCAACAUUCACUUUGCUCUUUGCCACAUCAGUAGAUGCACAGUUGGGCCUACAUUGGGGUUUACCUUCUUCCUCUGCACAAUUCUGCUUAUACCCUCUUGCUUUCACAGGUGUUGAUUUCCAAGAAAGAUCUUGUUCUUCAAACUCUGUUACAGCGUCUUCUCUGGAGAAGUCAACAGUGAGAUGGGCUAAAUGAAGAAGGAGCAGCUUAUUGUCUUUGUUGGUUUUCUUUAUUUUCCUUCGAAGCAUCUGGGGGAAGAGGAAGACAAUGGAUGAGAUGGCGUAUGUUCUUUCCGCCCUGUGAAUGAAUCAGAUUUGAACUCCUAAGCAAAAUAGAAAAUGCAGAAAUGGUGCUCAGGCAAAACCUGAGAGACACCGGGCUCAAGCGACUCUCCUCUGAAGUCCAUCUGAUAAAGUCUGAAUUAUGGAUAAGUCCUUUCCCCCUCAAUAGUCUACUGCUUACUAAAGUGUAGCUCAAUGACUCUGUGGGCUUGGGUAAUCAGCAGGUAAGCAUAGCUAUGCCCAAUGAAGCAGGGGCUGUGAGAAGAAGCCUUGAAGAGUACCUAAAGUAGAAAAUAAGUGAACUUUCUCCUAAGCCCAUAGGAAACAUCACUAUCCUGCUGAAGGCAGGGCAGAGGGAACACAGCAGAGUAGGCUCAGAAUAACUGGGAUUUGGGCACUGAUAUUAAUGUCACCAUAUCUACACUUAUUGAUUGUUGAGAUUAUACAUUUGGCUUGAAACCACAGGAACUAAUAUACUCUAAAUAUAAGCUGAGAAAAAUUAAAAAUAACCACAACUACAACAGUAGAAAGAGAAAAUAUAUGAAUGCCAAGAAUCUAAUGUGUAAAUUAACUACAAGGGUUUAGAAGUUUUGGGCAUCUCCCUGGGGAUUAGCUGUGCUCAGUCUCCCCUCCAGGAAAUCAUUUACAACUCUAUGUCUGUUACCCCAAAAUGACUUAAAUGAAGUUUAGGAUAAGACAGAGACAAGUUCAGAACAAGACAUGGGUGAGGUUCAGAAGAAUGAAAUUGAAAUUAUAUGAAUUUCCAAUUGUUAGAGAUGCAUGAGUGAGAUACAGGUUUUCAAGUGUUGUGAUGUCAUACCAUAAAAUGAUUAUAAACAUUUAGGAAACAAUCUCUCCUGUGGAAUCAGGAAUCAUUACUAAAUAUCACAAUUAUAGUGGAGACGCUGAAGAAGUCAAUAUAUGUGUUCUGAAAAACUUGAUUAAAUAAACUUCAAGGACACAGAGAAA